CGGUCAUCUAUACCACCAGCCGGCAUUGUCCAGGCACUUCAGUGGGAUGGCUCUCAAUUUUAUCAUUUCUUUCAGAAUAGGAAUCGGAGAUCUAUGUAAAAAAAAAAGUGGAGAAAAUCUCAGAAUGUGAUCCUGAACCCAAACAAAAAGAUUGAGGAGGAAAAACGUGCCUUUAAACUUACCCUCUUCUGUGAUACACUUGGAAAUAACAAUGGGCACCAUUUUCUAUGAUGACAUGAAUAGUAAUUUAAGUGAAAGCUGAUAUCAAUUGCCCUCUUGAAGUCCAGAGCUCCAGAAACCCUCCAACAAUGCAACAACAUUAUGUCUGAAGAGACUAAACAGACAAAGGAAACAAAACAGUUUUUUCCUCCGACAAAGGGGAAGGCAAACACCUCCAGCUCACUGGCAACCCAUAUCAGGUGUGACCGAUGACAACGGAUUAUUCGGUUGCAUUGGAAGUUGCAGGAAGGGUCCGUGUGAAACACAACAAGCUGAGCCCCCAGGACGGAUUCCUGACUUGUAACACAAAGACAGUCCCUUUGAGGAUAUAAAAGAACAGAGAGAGACUCCAUCUUUAUCCUUCACCUCAGGAGAUAAAAGAACCAAGAGAUUGGAUCUGAGUGAUGGAUCCUGGCCAGGCUGGCAAGUAAAAGGAGACUGUGGGUGGAAAAAAAAAGCCAUCUUAAACAAAGGCUGUAUCUUGAUAGAUUAAAUUUUCAUCUUUUUUA